rnacentral:lncRNA from 1 species
UGAAAUUUAAUUUAUAGUGACAUGUGGACCCCUAAAUGACAAAAAAUGAACGAAGGUUGCAAACCUACAGUUUUUGAGGAAGUAGAGCCAACUGUAGCCUUCGACAAUAUCAGCUAUCUACAGUCUAUACUGAGCCUAAAAUGGGUGGAAAGGUGGGUGGUGAGAUUAUAAAAUCCCAGUGAGUAAAUAGACAUCAUCAUAAACAUCUAGAGUUGAGUACAUGGAGAUGAUAAAGUAAAUCAUCGUAAACUGGGUCACAGCAUUAAAACACAUUUCAUUCAAAAUACAUAACGAGGCUUAUGAAUCUCAUAAAAACUAGGCUUGUGCCAUAAAUCCAUCCUCGGGGACACCUUGGUCGAGGCAUCUUACCGAGACCGCCAAGGCUGUUAAAAAUUCACAUUUCGUAUAAAACAAAUUUUUUGUUGGACAUCACAGCCGUUCCUUGGCGUUGGCUGAGUUCACCAUCACGUGGUGGUUUGGCGUGAAGUGAACUCAAAUAUCACCUCAUGAGCUACCCUACGCGCCCCUACAACUGAGGUGAGCACAUAUAAACGGGGUUACCGUGCCUCUCUCAUAGGCUGGUCCACGAAACCCGCAUAUUGCAGUAAGCUAAUAAUUAUCCCACCAAUCAAUAAAAUUCAAUAACAUGAUAUGGCAAUUAUUGUAAUUCACAGCCUUUCAAUGUAAACAAACAAUCCGUAUUUCAAUACAAUUGCCAACCAGCCAAUCAUGCCUAAUUUAUCAUAAGCCAAUCAAUUUAAACAAUCAAAUUGCAACAAAUAGCAGUCUCCGUGUACUCUAUUUUUUAAAAUCAUUAUUAAUUUCAAAACAAUUUAUAAAUUAAUUUCAUUGAAACACAUUUAUUCAUAAAACAUGAAAAUUUACCUUUUUAAAUCCAUUUUUCCAUAGAAUUCAUGAAAUCAUCUAAAAGCCACCCUAGAUAAUUAAAAUGACAGUAAGUUUACUCACAAUGUCUAGAGUGCAGAUUUUCGAAGUACUCUGACUACUGGUCCUCGAAUGCAAUUUCCUUGCCUUUAUCGGAGGACUCACCACCUUGACAUAGUACAAAAUUGAGAAACUUACUACAUUGGUACUAAAUUGAAAUUAAACUAAUUUAGACUACUGAUGCAUGAUAUGGAAUGCAAAAUACACGGGUAACCAUCUAAAUCCCGUAUUGGCCUAAUUCGUCUUAUCACCCGAUUAAUUGACCAACGCGUCCAAUUUAGCUCCAAAUUACUCCAUUUCUUUUCCAAUACCUUAAUUCACCAAACACAAGUCGAAUAAUCUAAAAUUUGGCAAAACCAUCUUCACUUUUCUUCUUAGAAUUUUCGAUCAAUAAUGGUGCAUUAACACCGUGAUUUUUCCUACUACUUUUCCACACCAUAAUUCAUCAUUUUCUAACCAAUUCUCUUAAAAUAAAAAAUCAAAUUCAUCCUCACUCAAUACAAGGUAGGUUCAGCCAUUGAUGGGUGAUGGGGAAAAUGAAUUCUUUUCUUGUUGUUUUGCUUCUAGACAUGGUAAACUAACUAAAAACACUAACAUAACUUGAAAUCAAAUCAAUCCAACAUCAUUCUCUCUCCAUACCCAUUCGGCUAGACAUGAAUUCACCAUGAAAACAUGAAAUUUAACCAUGAAAAAUAAGGAGAAAUGCUUAAGGAAAAUAGAUUUCAAGUUUAAAUUGAGAAAUCCUACCUUUUUCACUUGUUUUCCUUGAUUUUCCACACUUUUUCUCUUGAAAUUCUCCACCUAGGGUUUGUUCUUUC